rnacentral:lncRNA from 10 species
CUCCCAAAGUGCUGGGAUUACAGGUGUGAGCCACCAUACCCAGCCAGAGAAUGUUAUUUAGAAACCAAGAUCUGGGUGCCAAAUGUGCUGCUUGUUACUGGAAUGUCAUUGCCUCUAGGCUCUCACCAUACAGUGCAAAGAGAUGAUAGAUAGAUAGAUAGAUAGAUAGAUAGAUAGAUAGAUAGAUGAUAGAUAUAGAUAGAUAGAUAGAUUGAUUGAUUUGUAGAAACAAGAUAGGUUAGAGAUACCUGACAUAAAUAGAUACUAAAAAUCAUGAAUUCACACUGAUGCUUUGAGACCAGCCCUGUAGGUUUAUUCCAGUCUGCCCCCUUUUCCAUGUUGUUAACUCUUUCCUCCAGAGAGACAAAGAUUUCAGGUUGCUUUGUUAAGUUCCAUCUAAUGAUCAUUCUGACGUAAGUCUGUUUUUCUUAUUUCCUUGGAAUGAUGUCUCCUCUGGUUUCAGAACUUCCUCCUCUGCUUCCUGUAUCCUGAGGCUGGCGGGGCCAGUUGUCUUUAGGGCUUGUGCAUUUUUGUAAAGAGCUUGCACGUGUGGAAAUCAAGUAGGCCAGUAGUGGGUUAGGGGUACUGAGCCAGAAGCCUCUACAAGGAAUAACAGGAGCACAAAGGAAGAAGGUGGUAUUCCAGCUGGGGACCCAGGAGGGAGGACUUUGUGGAGAACCUGAUGCUUGAACUGAGUCUAAAAGGUGUAAAAGUGUUUGUUGCUUCUGCCUCCCUGUCUGUCUGGCAGGGUGAGGUAGGCGCAUCUAGGGAAAUGUCAAGUGGCUUGGUGUAGGGUAAAGUCAGUGAGGCCCAUGGAGAAAAACGAGCAGGAGCCACAUCACAUGGGUGUCUGAUAGGACCUGGGAGGCGCUUUCCACAUUACCAUUGUCGCUUCGUGAUCUGGACACACCAGAAGGCGUGAGACUGGAGGCAGGAAGAGCAGCCAGGCUUAUCCCUACCCUCAGGAGAGCUGAAAAGGGCAGGUAUGGUGGGGCCAGAGCUCAGGAGAGUUUCGGAACCACUGAGAUCGGUCCUUGAUUUGAUGAGAGGCUUGAGGGGAGAGGGAGGUAGCUAGGAUGCCCCGCAAGCUUCUGGCCCAGACACUGGGCAGACAAUGAAACCCUUUGUAACACAUGAGGCAAUAGGUUUGGGGCAGAUGGGAGGGGAAGCAGUGGUGGGGGCAGUGAGUGCUGAAGGUGUUUUAAGAAGCGGCUCUGGGCCAGGCACAGUGGCUUAUGCCUGUAUUCCUAGCAUUUUGGGAGGCCGAGGUGGGAGAAUCACUUGAGCCCAAGAAUUUGAGACCAGCCUGGGGAAUAUAGUGAGACCCUGUCCCUACAAAAAUAAAAACAACUAGCUGGGUGUGUGGUGGUGCAUGCCUGUAGGCCCAGCUACGCGGGAACAUCACCUGAGCCCAGGAGGUUGAGGUUGCAGUGAGCUACAGUUGCGCCACUGCACUCCAGCCUAGGUGACAGAGCAAGAUCUUGUCUCAAAAAAAAAAGCAGCUCUGGAUGGGAAGGGAGGCCAGUUGCUUUAAGUAGGGGAGAUAGAGUUAAAGGAGGCUUUGUUUUAUUUAAAGGUGGGACAAACUUAAGCAUGUUAAUAAAAUUCAGAGAAGAGAAAGAGAAUGACUAUCAGAGCCAUGUUUGGAAGAAAAUGGGGUCCAGAGCACAGGAAGGGGACCUGUGUUCAGAGGGUGCCUCACUGCUGAGGCCACAGGAAAGAAUCUGUAGGUGGAGGGGAGGCCGAAGAGGGGAAGUUUCAUGCUUGAUAAUUAAAAUUUUCUGAGAUAGGAAUGUCAUAUUUACCUAUUUAAGCCAAGUUUUUUUAGAUAAAAGGUAUGGAACCUGCUUUCCCCUUGGCUAGUUCAGCGUUUGGGCUCCGGAGUGCUGAAGAUGAGGACUGGACUUCGAGCUGGUGUGAUCCCAGUAUUCAGUGUCAGUACUCAGUGACAAAAUAAAUGAGAGAAACGGGAAUAAGAAUUGUCGCCUACACAAAAAUACCAGCAACUGUUAACUCUUCCCAGAAGAUUUUCAUUCUGAAUGCUCCUGUAGCUAGGAACCCUAAAAAGUCUUUGAAGCAACUCAAGUUUUAAAAAAGGGGAGGAACUCCUGGAAAUCUCAGGAUGGGGCCAAGAUGUGGCUGGAGAGUGUGUGGUGAUGGAGGGCGUGUCUUUUGCCGAGCACACUCAGGGCCCACGGGAAGCCCAUAGACUUCAAGGACAUCAAGCCCCAAGGUGGUGGGAUUUUCCCCACCAGUACUUGGCAGCCUAGGGGGAAGGGGAGGGCGGGAGAAGAUAAUGGGGAUCCCUGGCUCCAAACAUAGGAGGACACAUCUGUGCUACAGUGCGCACAUGCCUGGAUGUACACUCUGUCUUUGGAGACACUGGCUAAGAUUCUCUGCUCCAUGUUUGGACAGGGUCGUGCCUGAUCUGAGAUAAAUGGACAAGAACAACUGAAGCCUGUCUUCUGGUGCAUGUGUCACCUGCCGAUAACUGCAUCUUGUGAUAAAGUUGGGUGAUUUACAGUCUCCACCAAAUGCUAAACUCUGGGGUCUUACGCCUUUAUAACUCCAUGGGCCCCAGCAAAGGUUCAGGCUCAAAACAGGUGUCAAAUAGAUAACUGUUGAAUGAUUGUUCCCCAGUUGCAGGCUCUGCCACCUGGCGUUCAUACUGUCUGUGAAAGGACCCAGCUCACCUUUCCCUCUUUAUCUCCCAGUCCUUCCCAACAGCGCCGACACCUCAUGGAAACUGAUUGCAAAUGUGCUACUUCUCACUUCUGUGUGGCCCGAGGAGGCUGGGUUAAUGCUGGGCUUGGUACCUUAAGCACCCUUUCUCCCUUCCCCAUCUUCAUUCUCAGAAUUACACCUGUCUGAAGCAGGCAUUUUCCAAUGCCCUAGAUGGGAAUAUAAGUGUAAGGAGAUGUGAAGCAUUUGCCUGUGUGUCAGAACAUUCACUGAGGAUCCUCAUAGGCACUUCUAGAAACCAAAUCCUUGAAGAUGACUAACCAGAAAUGCCCGUCAUAGCACUGUUUACAGUUGCAAAAACUGAAGCCAAUUGAAAUGUCCAUCAGGAGGGGAUUAAAUGAAUUAUGGUACAGUUACACCGUUGAAUAUUUUACAGCCAUUGAAGAUGAUAUAUAGCUAUAUUCAUUGACAAGGAAAACUCAUAUUUUUUAGUGAAAAAAGCAGGUUAUAGAAUUGCAUGAUAUUCACAUUUAUAUAAAACUUUAUAUAUGGGAAGGAUGUUGAUUGAAUUGUUAAUAACUAUGGUCACCUCUAGAGAUGGAAGUUUGCAUUACCUUUAAUUUUUAAUACCAUUUUGUAUUGCUUAAAAUUUGUAUGUAUUAUCGUUAAAAUAAGAAAAAUCAAAUAAAGCUAUUUUCAUUAUGGGAAAA